rnacentral:lncRNA from 1 species
UGUUUAUUAUGUAUAAUUAUUAAUAUUUAUUAGGUUCUAAGGGCUCUGAAUUUGGGUUUGGAGGUGGAGAUGUCAAUGGGUCGGAUACGGGUCGGAUUUUUAAAAACCCGAACCCGAACCCGAACCCGACUCCAAACCCGAGACCCGAACCCGAACCCGAACCCGACGGAUUUUUAAAAUCCAUAUCCAAACCCAAACCCGACCAAAAAUCCGAAACCCGAACCCGAACCCGAAAAUUUGAACCCGAAACAAUUAUUUCUUUUUUCAAUAUUUUAAAAAAUAUUACAUUAAAUCUAAAAUUUUAAAAUAUAAAUUCAAAUAUAACAUCAAAUUUUUAUAUAUAUAUUAUAUAUAAUACAAAAUAAAUUCAGGUUUAGGUCAGGUUCGGGUCGGGUACAAUCAAAAUUUAUAUCUGAAUCCAUAUCCGUCGGAUUUCUAUAUUUUAUAUCCAUAUCCAAAUCCAUAUCGAUAUCCAUCGGAUAUAUCUGUUUCAUUCGGGUUCGGAUUCGAAUAAAAUUUCGGAUAUCCAUACUCAUUGACAUCCCUAUUUG